UUUCUUCUCUCAGUUGCAGCAGAUAAAAUUUCAACAACAUCUUCAUCAAAUUCUUCCAAACUGGACAAAGCCAUAACAAAACCACAAUCAAAACGAUAUAACACCGUAAAAAAUUUUUUUUAAAAAAAUUUCAGAA